UGGGGCUGUGUGCAGGGCCAGCGCGGAGCCCGAGCAGCCGCGGUGAAGCGCCUGUGCUCCGCCGAGA
ensembl:miRNA